GAUGCCAUUCCACAUAGAUUUCAAUUCUAACACAAUGAAUACUUACAAAUCUAUGCAAUUCUAGAUAAAAUAGGGCAUAUUACUCAAGAUCAAGGUAGAUCUUUACUUAAAUUAGGCAUCCAAGACCUUUCCUCCACCAGAUCUAGCUCUAAAGCUUUGAUACCAAUUGUUGCUAGGAUUGAAUUUUUCCUUGCUGAUCAUAGAUCACGAAAGUAGCAGCAAGAAUGGGAGAAAAAAUCUUAAUGGC
rnacentral:lncRNA from 1 species